UUUAUCACCUCCAUAAGUCUUCAUUGCCGGCAUCUCAUUUCCGAUGCGAUGCAGCCAUUAGCUCCGUUCAUCUCAUGUUAUCUGACUUAGGUGAAAAUCUAUGUCCGGAGACAUAUUUCUGCCUCGAUUGUUUUAGUGCAUGUGUUCUAAUUCUGGUAGUAUCGAUGAUCUUAGAAGCACAAUUGUUCGUUAUAGAUAAGUCUUUCUUCCCCUAAUCUCUUAUUUUUUUAAUCUACUCUAUGUAAUCUUCAUUUAGCAAAAUUUUCCAUUACAGUGAUGAAGAAAUCUUAGUUUUUAGUAUUCUAUUCUGAACAAUAGCUAGAAGAUUAAUAUAUUAAUUGUGAAAUUUUAGAUUGUACCCUAAGUUUUCUUGAAUUUGUAACUGAAGUGCAUGUUCAAAUUUCAGAUUCAACACGGUUGAAUAUACUAAUGGAUGGAGUCCCUACAACAUUCAGUGAGAAUUUCUAACCCUAAUACAUUUGGGGCCACAGAAUAUUCUAAGUAUGCUAUAUUGUUCGUAACUCAGAGAUUGUUUUUGAAGGACUUGUUCCAUUCGCCAGAAAGUAUAGAGGUGGCAUGACAAUAUGCAAUUUGUAUAUGAAUUGUAAACAACCUCUGCAAUCCCUGUAAUAUAGAGUGUUUGUGGUGUAUUGGAAUUGAUAUAAACUGAGCUAUUUACAUAGCUUGUAAGAAAGAGUUGUAUACAUACAACUAAUUAAUGCUAAUUGUUCGGAUACCAAAGA